rnacentral:lncRNA from 1 species
CAUUUAUACCCUCUUUUAAAUUUACCUCCAAGAAAGCAAUUCUGUUCUUUCUUGCACCUCUAAUUUCUUUCCACUGUAUCCUUUCUUUUUAAUUCCAUAAAUGAGUAUGAAGUUUGUCAUGGAUGUUCUGUGUGGCCCUAGGACAAAAUCUAUCAGAAACUGUAUUGCAUGAAGAUGGCUGGCAGCUGAGUCCUUUAGAAAUGCCUUUUGCUGAAGGGAGUUGGGCCAUCAAAGAUGUAAUGAUACAUCCCUGGGAGAGGUCAGGGUCCAAUGACGGUUUAAUGUGAGGUUUGAGAUGCCCAGCCCCCUUGCAUGAUUCAGAACUUCUCUGUAGGGCCGUCUCCAUUUCAUAAGCCCUGUGUGAUUGGCUGAAGUUUCUGUUCCUACUGUAACCAAUUCCUCCCUUCUCCUUUUCCAAUUCAGCUUCUUGUGUUUCCUCAUAGAUACUGCGACUGAAAACGACCCAAUGCCUUUCCUGCAUAAAAAUGUCUGUCUCUUAGUCUACUUUGCAGGCAAAAUGACAAAGGGAUUAUUCAAAGCUUUGUUCUAGAUGUUACUUGGGAGGCUGAGGCAGGAGAAUCGCUUGAAUCUGGGAGGCUGAGGUUGCAGUGAGCCAAGAUCCUGCCACUGAACUCCAGCCUGGGUCACAGAGUGAGACUCCAUCUCAAAAAAAAAAAACCAGAAAGCAAAACAACAACAACAACAACAACAACAACAACAACAAAAAACUUAAGCUUUAGAAAAUGUUGUAAUAGAGAUUUUAUGGAGGGUAAUAUGGUUAACAUUUCUCUACUUCCUUAGUGAUGGAGAAUCAAGAGUUUCUUACCUACCUAUUCUCUAUCUACCUCUCAGUUUUGAAUCCUUCACUUGUUUACUCUGCAUCAUAUCUAGCACUCUGCCAGUCUGUUUUAUAUCCCUACCCCUCUUGAACCUUGAUAGCUAAACUUAAGCAUCAUGUAGUCUACAACUAAUCCAGACUUAUUCUCUCUGUGAAAUAGGUUCUAGCAUCUAUCACCAUUUCAGUAAAGGGCAAAUGAAAGAAUUGUAAACACACCCUCACAUUCUAAGUCUUCCAUCCACUGAGCAACAGGAAUUUCUUAAUUUAUACUCCAUAUGGUGGCCAAGGACUGAUUUAUUAUUAUGUGAGUAAUUCACACCAGGUAUUCAUGACCAGGUAAAUCUACACUCCUCAUAAUUCUGUGGUUUCCCUGUUGUUUGAAAUAGUCUGUAAAGUUGUUUAUUCUUCCCUGUGUCCUUCGUUUUGUGCUUUUUUUUAUUCAAUUACUUAUUACUUAUCUAUCCUAUUUUUCUUUCCCCUCCCACCCCAAACUCUGACAACUACUGACCUGUUCAUCAUUCCUGCAGUUUCUCCUUUUCUAGAAUGUCAAAUAAAUACAAUCUUAAAAUAUGUAACCUUUGAGACUGGCUUCUGUUACAGCACAAUGCAUUUGCAAUUCAUCUAUGUUGUUGUGUGUGUCAGUAGUUGAUUACAUUUUAUUGUUCAGUAAUACUCCCUUGUUUGUAUAGGCUAAGUUUGUCUAUUCCAUCACCUAUGCAUUUGAAUUAAUGCCAGUUUGAGUUAUCCUGGCAUAAACAUUCUUAUAUAGAUUUUGGGGUGAAAGUAACUUUUCAUUUCUCUAAAAUAAACAUGUAGAAAUGGGAUUGUUGAGUCAGAUGGUAAUUACAUGUUUAACUUUUUAAGAAACAGACUGCCUUAGAUUCUUUAGUGUUGCUGUAAUAGCAUAUCAUAGACUGGGUAAUUUUAAAGAGGGUAAAUUUAUUUCUUAUAGUACUGGAGACUGGAAAGUCCAAGAUCAAAUGGCACACAUCUGGAUAAGGCCUUCUUACUGCACCAUUUCAUGGAUGGGAGCAGAAAGGCAAGAAAACAUAGAAGUGGGGUCACUUUUUUGUCUGGUAGCUUUACUUUUAAAUUUUUGAAGAACCUCCAUCUGUUUGUAUUAGUUCAUUUUGUGUUGCUGUAAAGGAAUACCUGAGGCUAGGAAAUGUAUAAAGAAAAGAAUUUUAUUUGGCUCAUAGUUCUGCAUGUGCUGUACAAUCAUGGCACCAGUAUCUGCUUGGCUUCUGGUGAGGCCUCAGGAAGCUUUUACUCAUAGCAGAAGGGAAGGGAUCCAGCAUGUCACAUGGUGAAGAAGGGAGCAAGCAAGAGAGAGAAAGUGCCAAGCUCUUUUAAACAACCAGCUCUCGCACGAGCUAACAGAGUAAGGACUUACUUAUUCCUGUGAAGACAACACCAAGUCAUUCGUGAAGGAUCCAUGUCUAUGACCCAAACAUCUCGCAUUAGGCCUACCUGCAACAUUGGAGGUCACAUUUCAACAGAAUAUCAGUGUUUUCACAAUGCCUAUAUUACUGCUGAGUUUUAGGAGUUCUUUCUGUAUAUCUUUCUGGAUACAAGUUUUUCAUUGAUGUUAUGCUUGAUAAAGCAAACAAGGUCUGAGGGCAAAGACUAGAGUAAAUACCUAAUGCCUUGAUGCACAGACAUUGAUGAAUGUUCACAAGCAUCAAGAAUAUGAAAGGCAUUAUGACUUCAUGAAACAAACUAAAUAAGGUGCCAGUGACUAACUUUAAAUAGAGGGAUAUGUGUGACCUCUCAGACAGAUAAUUCAAAAUUACUGCUUUGAGGAACUCAACCGACUUUAGGAAAAUACAGAGAAGGAAUUCAAAAUUUUAUCAGAGAAACUUGACAAAGAGGUUGAAAAAAAUCAAAUGGAAGUCCUGGAGCUGAAGAUGCAUUUGAGGUUCUCAACAGCAAAAUUGAUCAAGCAGAAGAAAAAACAUCAGUGAGCUCAAAGACAGCUAUUUAGAAAUAUCAAAAAGUCAGAGAAAAAAAAAAGAAUGAAAUUCUAUGGCCAGGUGCAGUGGCUCAUGCCUGUAAUCCCAGCACUUUGGGAGACUGAGAGCGGAGGAUCACUUGAGCUCAGGAGUUCAAGAACAACUGGGGCAACGUGGCAAAAACCCAUCUCUACAAAAAAUACAAAAGGUAGCCAGACAUGGAGAUGCACACCUGUAGUCACAGCUACUCAGGAGGCUUAGGCAGGAGAAUCACUUGGGCUUGGAAGAUCAAGGCCACAGUGAGUUAUGAUCGAGCCACUGCACUCCAGCAUGGGUAACUAAGCAAAUAUCCUGUCUCACAACAACAACAACAACAAAGGAAUGGAAUCCUGUCAUUCACAAUGUGGAUGGAACUGGAGGACAUUAAGUGAAAUAAACUAUGAACAGAAAGUUAAACACCACAUGUGAUAUGGUUUGGCUCUGUGUCACCACCCAAAUUUCAUCUCGAACUGUAAUCCCCACAUGUUGAGGGAGGGACCUGGUGGGAAGUGAUUGGAUCAUAGGGGUGGUUUCACUCAUGCUGUUCUUGUGAUAGUGAGUUCUCAUGAGUUCUGAUGAUUUAAAAGUGUUUGGCAGUUCCUCUCCUCUCUCUUGCCUGCUGCCAUGUAAGAUGUGCCUUGCUUCCCUUUUGCCUCCUGCCAUGAUUGUAAGUUUCCUGAGGUCUCCCCAGCCAUGU